rnacentral:rRNA from 1 species
UGAGUAAUGUCUGGGAAACUGCCCGAUAGAGGGGGAUAACUACUGGAAACGGUAGCUAAUACCGCAUAAUCUCGUAAGAGCAAAGUGGGGGACCUUCGGGCCUCACGCUAUCGGAUGUGCCCAGAUGGGAUUAGCUAGUAGGUGGGGUAAUGGCUCACCUAGGCGACGAUCCCUAGCUGGUCUGAGAGGAUGACCAGCCACACUGGAACUGAGACACGGUCCAGACUCCUACGGGAGGCAGCAGUGGGGAAUAUUGCACAAUGGGCGCAAGCCUGAUGCAGCCAUGCCGCGUGUAUGAAGAAGGCCUUCGGGUUGUAAAGUACUUUCAGCGGGGAGGAAGGCGAUGAGGUUAAUAACCUCGUCGAUUGACGUUACCCGCAGAAGAAGCACCGGCUAACUCCGUGCCAGCAGCCGCGGUAAUACGGAGGGUGCAAGCGUUAAUCGGAAUUACUGGGCGUAAAGCGCACGCAGGCGGUCUGUCAAGUCAGAUGUGAAAUCCCCGGG